CUGAAGAUACGAACUUGUAACAGGUUUCGAACCCCUAUAGUGUUCCUCUAUAAAUGGGCUAGAUAACCAUGAAGCUGAAGAUACGAACUUGUAACAGGUUUCGCCAUUGGAGGCAAAAGUAAAAGAUAAAAUAAAAGAAAUGUACAGUAAUAAAAACUUUGUUCAGAAAGUGAGAUAUAAAUGCAAACAGAAGGGCAUCUCUGUAUUACUAUAUAAUAAAUAUGAUCUUUUAUGAAGGUGGGGGGGAAUCAAGUUAAGGUUUCCAUCGUUGCCAUCUUCGUGAAUUAUCUUAGCAGUUUAGAAUAAAGUGAGGUUUGUUGCAGAGGCGGGACCAUUUUCGGCUGUGUUUCGGC
rnacentral:lncRNA from 1 species